CAGGAAAUAGUUUAUUAAGAAUAUUAGCUUUGGGUGCUAAUGGAAAGACGUAAGGUUUUUUUCCUGA
rnacentral:tRNA from 1 species